GAUGAAGAACGUAGCGAAAUGCGAUAAGUAAUGCGAAUUGCAGAAUUCAGUGAGUCAUCGAAUCUUUGAACGCACAUUGCGCCCUGUGGUAUUCCGCAGGGCAUGCCUGUUCGAGCGUCAUUUCAACCCUCAAGCCUCGCUUGGUGUUGGGCCCUGCCCGCCGCGGCCGGCCCUAAAGAUAGUGGCGGCGCCGCCUGGCCCUCAGCGUAGUACAGCUCUCGCUCCAGGGUCCGGCGGCAGCCUGCCAGAACCCCCCAACUCUGUGGUUGACCUCGGAUCAGGUAGGAAUACCCGCUGAACUUAAGCAUAUCAAUAAGCGGAGGA
rnacentral:misc_RNA from 1 species